rnacentral:rRNA from 1 species
GCUUUGAAGCGUGGACGCCAGUCUGCGUGGAGCCGACCUUGAAAUACCACCCUUUAAUGUUUGAUGUUCUAACGUGGACCCGUAAUCCGGGUUGCGGACAGUGUCUGGUGGGUAGUUUGACUGGGGCGGUCUCCUCCUAAAGAGUAACGGAGGAGCACGAAGGUUGGCUAAUCCUGGUCGGACAUCAGGAGGUUAGUGCAAUGGCAUAAGCCAGCUUGACUGCGAGCGUGACGGCGCGAGCAGGUGCGAAAGCAGGUCAUAGUGAUCCGGUGGUUCUGAAUGGAAGGGCCAUCGCUCAACGGAUAAAAGGUACUCCGGGGAUAACAGGCUGAUACCGCCCAAGAGUUCAUAUCGACGGCGGUGUUUGGCACCUCGAUGUCGGCUCAUCACAUCCUGGGGCUGAAGUAGGUCCCAAGGGUAUGGCUGUUCGCCAUUUAAAGUGGUACGCGAGCUGGGUUUAGAACGUCGUGAGACAGUUCGGUCCCUAUCUGCCGUGGGCGCUGGAGAACUGAGGGGGGCUGCUCCUAGUACGAGAGGACCGGAGUGGACGCAUCACUGGUGUUCGGGUUGUCAUGCCAAUGGCACUGCCCGGUAGCUAAAUGCGGAAGAGAUAAGUGCUGAAAGCAUCUAAGCACGAAACUUGCCCCGA